AUUGCGUUUUUGUUAUGUCAUGCAUUGUUACAGUCAUAAUGACGUCAUAUAAUUCAUUAGAAUAUUUGUAAUUCAUUAGCUUUUGCAUCCAAUUGAUUUUACCAGCUGAUACUGUCCUGAUGACAUCACAAUAACAGCGAUGUGACGCCUUAGUAAUGCCAUUCGUUAUUAUGUUCUAUUACAUGUUGUCAUCGCGACGUCAUAUAAUGGAAGUGUUUUAUGCUUUCAUAUCAUCCCACUCUGAAAAAUUUAAUCACUCAAGUUUUCAACACACUGAAAAACUUAAAAAAUGGCAAUUUCGUUAUCAUUCCAAAAUGCCCAUCUCUGGCGCGAUUCCGACCCUGAUAGCCUAUGUUAUCUGUGCGAAGUCUCAAGCCAAGUUUUGGGAUCAAACGAUGGGGGAGCUUUUGAAGAUCAGACAAUAGGCAAAUAUUGCAGUUUAUAUAUAUUAACAGAAGAAUUGCUUAUC
rnacentral:lncRNA from 1 species